AUUGAACGCUAGCGGGAUGCUUUGCACAUGCAAGUCGAACGGAGUGGCGGACGGGUGAGUAAUAUAUUGGAACGUGCCCAGUAGCGGGGGAUAACUACUCGAAAGAAUGGCUAAUAACGAAUACUAUUGGGGCUGCCGAUAUCGGAUUAGCAAGUUGGUGGGGUAACGGGUAACCAAGGCAACGAUCCGUAGCUGGUUUGAGAGGACGACCAGCCACGCGUGGACUGAGACACGGCCCAGGCUCCUACGGGAGGCAGCAUGGGGGAAUUUUGGACAAUGAGGGAAACCCUGAUCCAGCCAUCCCGCGUGUAUGAGGAAGGCCUUCGGGUUGUAAAGUACUUUUGGCAGAGAAGCGGUAUCUGCAGAAUAAGCACCGGCUAACUACGUGCCAGCAGCCGCGGUAAUAC
rnacentral:rRNA from 1 species